rnacentral:rRNA from 1 species
UACGGAAUGUGCAAACGUUAUUCGGAAUCACUGGGCUUAAAGAGUCCGUAGGCGGCAUGUUAGGUGAGGUGUGAAAUCCCCCGGCUCAACCGAGGAAUUGCGCUUCAAACCGGCGUGCUAGAGGAAGAUAGAGGUGGGCGGAACUGAUGGUGGAGCGGUGAAAUGCGUUGAUAUCAUCAGGAACACCGGAGGCGAAAGCGGCCCACUGGGUCUUUUCUGACGCUGAGGGACGAAAGCUAGGGGAGCGAACGGGAUUAGAUACCCCGGUAGUCCUAGCCUUAAACGAUGAGCACUAGACCGAAGAAUCACCACGAUUUUUUGGUCGUAGCGAAAGUGUUAAGUGCUCCGCCUGGGGAGUAUGGUCGCAAGGCUGAA